rnacentral:rRNA from 1 species
AGCAUAUCAAUAAGCGGAGGAAAAGAAAAUAACAAUGAUUCCCCUAGUAACGGCGAGUGAAGAGGGAAAAGCUCAAGUUUGGAAGCUUCGUGGCAUAGCUACGACGCGUUGUAAACUGAAGUUUUUUGGGUGAUUGGGCGACCGGAUAAAUAAGUCCUUUGGAAAGGGGCAACAUAGAGGGUGACAUUCCCGUCUUUGGUCCGAGUCAGUGCAGUCGCUGCCCAGGAAACGACGAGUCAGGUUGUUUGGGAAUGCAGCCUAAAAUGGGAGGUAAAUCUCUCCUAAAGCUAAAUACUGGCGUAAGACCGAUAGCGAACAAGUACCGUGAGGGAAAGAUGAAAAGGACUUUGAAAAGAGGGUCAAAUAGUACGUGAAAUUGUUGAAAGGGAACCGUAUGAAAGUAGACUGGCUUGGUGAUGAUCAAUGUGUGUUUCGGCACGCAUGCACUCAUUGCCUUUGCCAGCCAGCGGCAGUUUUUGCUAAAGGAAGAAAAUCAGGGGAAUGUAGCUUCGAUUUCGGUUGAAGUGUUAUAGCUCCUGGUAAAAUACUUUGGCAGAGACUGAGGCUAGCAGCGGAUCUUUGGGAACUUUGCGCGCUUGUCGUCCAAUGGUCAAGUUUUCUUCGGAUGCUUGGUCAUUGGGUGGCAACUCGUGUGAUGCUUCACCCUUCCGCUUAGGUCGCUGGCGUAAUGCUUUUAUAUGACCCGUCUUGAAACACGGACCAAGGAGUCCACGUAUAGAGCGAGUCGUUGGGUGGCAAACCCAAAGGCGAAGUGAAAGCGAUUGGGAAGAAACUGUUACAGGUGGCACUCCCGGGGGGAUAUGACGUUUUAUACAGAUUGACCUCACCCAAAGCUCUAUGCAUGGGACCCGAAAGAUGGUGAACUAUACUUGAAUAGGGUGAAGCCAGAGGAAACUCUGGUGGAGGCUCGUAGCGAUUCUGACGUGCAAAUCGAUCGUCGAAUUUGAGUAUAGGGGCGAAAGA